AGCAACGUGGCUUAGUGGAAAGAGCACAGGCUUGGGAGGCAGAGAUCGUGGGUUCUAAUCCCACCUCUGCCA
rnacentral:tRNA from 1 species